AUUGAACGCUGGCGGCAGGCCUAACACAUGCAAGUCGAACGGCAGCGCGGGCUUCGGCCUGGCGGAGGGUGGCCGACGGGUGAGUAAUAGAGCGGAACGUGCGCAGUAGCGGGGGCUAGGGCGGCAAAAGCCGGAAUAAUACCGCAUACGACCUGAGGGUGAAAGGGGGGAAUCAUCGGACCUUGCGCCCUUGGACCGGCCGAUGUCGGAUUAGCUAGUUGGUGGGGUAAAGGCCUACCAAGGCGACGAUCCGUAGCUGGUCUGAGAGGACGACCAGCCACACUGGAACUGAGACACGGCCCAGACUCCUACGGGAGGCAGCAGUGGGGAAUUUUGGACAAUGGGCGCAAGCCUGAUCCAGCCAUGCCGCGUGUGUGAUGAAGGCCUUCGGGUUGUAAAGCACUUUUGGCGGGAACGAAAAGGAGCAUGUCAAUGCCACGGUGCGAUGACGGUACCCGAAGAAUAAGCACCGGCUAACUUCGUG
rnacentral:rRNA from 1 species